UGAGUAAUGUCUGGGAAACUGCCUGAUGGAGGGGGAUAACUACUGGAAACGGUAGCUAAUACCGCAUAACGUCGCAAGACCAAAGAGGGGGACCUUCGGGCCUCUUGCCAUCGGAUGUGCCCAGAUGGGAUUAGCUAGUAGGUGGGGUAACGGCUCACCUAGGCGACGAUCCCUAGCUGGUCUGAGAGGAUGACCAGCCACACUGGAACUGAGACACGGUCCAGACUCCUACGGGAGGCAGCAGUGGGGAAUAUUGCACAAUGGGCGCAAGCCUGAUGCAGCCAUGCCGCGUGUAUGAAGAAGGCCUUCGGGUUGUAAAGUACUUUCAGCGGGGAGGAAGGGAGUAAAGUUAAUACCUUUGCCCAUUGACGUUACCCGCAGAAGAAGCACCGGCUAACUCCGUGCCAGCAGCCGCGGUAAUACGGAGGGUGCAAGCGUUAAUCGGAAUUACUGGGCGUAAAGCGCACGCAGGCGGUUUGUUAAGUCAGAUGUGAAAUCCCCGGG
rnacentral:rRNA from 1 species